rnacentral:sRNA from 1 species
GUCAACCACCCCGCCCUAAAAGGCGGAGCUUGCGGGUAAGCGCAGGCUCAGGUUGACCAGGGAAAGCGGUAACAAGUCCGCUACCUUGCAUGGAGAGCAAAAGACAGGCGUUGGGAUGCUUCCUAAAGUCCCAACCUCUCGAAGCCGGAGCUGUAGCCAGGCGCGAGGGCAAGGACGCUGGCGGACUCCGGCAUACGGCUAUCAUGCAACAUUCCCGAGAGGAUACGCCCCGCAAGGGG